rnacentral:rRNA from 1 species
CCUACGGGUGGCAGCAGUAAGGGAUAUUGGUCAAUGGGGGAAACCCUGAACCAGCAACGCCGCGUGAGGGAAGACGGUUUUCGGAUUGUAAACCUCUGUCCUCUGUGAAGAUGAUGACGGUAGCAGAGGAGGAAGCUCCGUCUAACUACGUGCAGGCAGCCGCGGUAAUACGUAGGGAGCGAGGGUUGUCCGGAUUUACUGGGUGUAAUGGGUUCGUAGGCAGCUUGGCAAGUCAGUAGGGAAAUCCAUGGGCUUAACCCAUGAACUGCUAUUGAAACUGUCGAGCUUGAGUGAAGUAGAGGUAGGCGGAAUUGGCGGUGUAGCGGUGAAAGGCGUAGAGAUCGGGAGGAACACCAGUGGCGAAGGCGGCCUACUGGGCUUUAACUGACGCUGAGGCACGAAAGCGUGGGUAGCAAACAGGAUUAGAUACCCGGGUAGUC